CUCCAGAAAGAAUGAAUCCCUGCUGACCCAUUCUGAUCUCCAUAAUUCCUGUGGCUUCCAAGGCUAUCGUGUCAGGACAAGGCAUGAAGAACGCACAGUCCUUACCUACCUUUGUCCAGAAGUCAUUGAUAUCACUUCCACUCAUAAGUCAUUGACCUAAACUUAUCACCUGGGUCCAAGCUGACUACAAGGUCUGAGAAAUGUAAGGAGCAUGGAGAGCAUUUGCUCAGAGUUUUCCCCCUUUAUGACUUCAGUGUGUAAUAAUACAUAGUUUGAAGUAGAAAUGUAGUAAGUGAUGCCAUACACUUUGUCACCUACAAGCUCUGAGUGGAACAACAAAUAGAAGAAUGAAUUGAAGGAUGAAAACUAGUCCAAGUAUGGAGGAUGGAGUAGAUUAAUGGCUGAAGACCAUAGCUAUUUCAGAAUACAAGAAAGAGAAGCUGAAAGCUGAAUGUCUUUAAUGAGAAAAUGUGACUCACUGUACAAUGAAAAGCCCUUCUGUUUUUGUCAAGUUUGCCAGCUCCUGUGAGAAGUUCUACAAAGGAUCAUAAUAUCUGCACAAGACCAAGCUGUCCUUCCUCCCUUGGGUCACUGCAAUUUCCUCCUAGCUGGUUCCCCUGUCUCAGUGUUGCUCCCCAGUAAUGACGAUCAAUGGCAGAUCAUUUGAAGCAUG